rnacentral:rRNA from 1 species
GACGAACGCUGGCGGCGUGCUUAACACAUGCAAGUCGAACGGAAAGGCCCUGCUUUUGUGGGGUGCUCGAGUGGCGAACGGGUGAGUAACACGUGAGUAACCUGCCCUUGACUUUGGGAUAACUUCAGGAAACUGGGGCUAAUACCGGAUAGGAGCUCCUGCUGCAUGGUGGGGGUUGGAAAGUUUCGGCGGUUGGGGAUGGACUCGCGGCUUAUCAGCUUGUUGGUGGGGUAGUGGCUUACCAAGGCUUUGACGGGUAGCCGGCCUGAGAGGGGGACCGGCAACAUUGGGACUGAGAUACGGCCCAGACUCCUACGGGAGGCAGCAGUGGGGAAUAUUGCACAAUGGGCGGAAGCCUGAUGCAGCAACGCCGCGUGCGGGAUGACGGCCUUCGGGUUGUAAACCGCUUUCGCCUGUGACGAAGCGUGAGUGACGGUAAUGGGUAAAGAAGCACCGGCUAACUACGUG